UUAACUAUUAUAUAGUACUCAGACAUCACUAAAAACAAGAGUUGUGGUCCUCUGGCGGGCACUCAACAGCCGAAGCCGCUGGCACGAGGCGGCCCGCCAAAGCAACAAAGGUAAUAUAUUCAAGGGUGGAGUUCCAGACCGAGCUUCUCUGAGAGGCCCGACGACUCUAAACUCUACCGAAGUAGGGUAGCCCCAAGAAGCAAGCUUCGAGGGCGCUGUCUGUCUGUUUCUCUAUUAAUGAUCCUUCCGCAGGUUCACCUACGGAAA
rnacentral:misc_RNA from 1 species